UUGAUUGUCUACAAAAAAGAAUAGGUGGACACAUACCCUGCGCACCAAAAUCUUCAAACAAUCUCUCGCUCCAUGCCUUCCCUAAUCUACAUUAGUAAUCUUCCAUGAUUCAUCCAAGCCCUUUCCGAUCCAACAAAUCAUGCCCCGUUUCUCCCCAAAAAACGAUCUUCUGUUGGCCACAUGAAGAACAAUUGGAGCUCUCGACGGGAUGCGAGUAUCUAUCAGGUGGAUCCUUCCACCGUAACUUUAGAGUAGCUCCGGUUGCAGAGACGCUGAUCGAGAGCCAUGAAGAAAGCUGCGGGUCUCCGUAUGAAAGAUGCACCGGAUCCCCUAAUUUGGAUGUUGAAUCUGAGUCCUCGCCGUCAGAUUCAGGAUUCCCCACUUCCAGCAGCCGACAGAGAUGUUAAAUCGAGCAGCCCCAUCUCCAACAAAUCCGGAACAGAGCCAUGUUCAUGGCAGAGAAGGAAUAAACAAUCAAAAUAAAAGGUGGGCCACACAGCAAGGAAUUUGAGAAACCAGCCAACGUGGUUAAAAAAACAAAUAAGCAAUGUAACAAGCAGUGGCGGAGCUACCAAAAAAAUAUUGGGUGGGCCGGAUAGUAUAAAGAGUAGUAACAGAGUAAAAAAUCUAUAUUGUUGUGGGCUAGACUUCAUGUAAAACUUUAUUGCUUCAGCCAAGGGCGGGACAUGGCCCUUUCAGCCUUGCUGAAGCUCCGCCGGUGGUAACAAGGUGAUCUAUUAUUAA